GAUGAACGCUGACAGAAUGCUUAACACAUGCAAGUCCACUUGAACUUCGGUUUGGGUGGCGGACGGGUGAGUAACGCGUAAAGAACUUGCCUCACAGCUAGGGGCAACAUUUGGAAACGAAUGCUAAUACCUGAUAUUAUGAUUUUAGGGCAUCCUAGAAUUAUGAAAGCUAUAUGCGCUGUGAGAGAGCUUUGCGUCCCAUUAGCUAGUUGGAGAGGUAACGGCUCACCAAGGCGAUGAUGGGUAGCCGGCCUGAGAGGGUGAACGGCCACAAGGGGACUGAGACACGGCCCUUACUCCUACGGGAGGCAGCAGUGGGGAAUAUUGGACAAUGGACCAAGAGUCUGAUCCAGCAAUUCUGUGUGCACGAUGAAGUUUUUCGGAAUGUAAAGUGCUUUCAGUUGGGAAGAAAAAAAUGACGGUACCAACAGAAGAAGUGACGGCUAAAUACGUG
rnacentral:rRNA from 1 species